rnacentral:rRNA from 1 species
UGCAAGUCGACGAGACGGGUAUUAGCUUGCUAAUACUGUCAGCUAAGUGGCGCACGGGUGAGUAAUAUAUAGUUAACCUGCCCUAGAGAAGGGGAUAACGUUUGGAAACGGACGCUAACACCCUAUAUGCCUUUAAUACAUAAGUAUGCAAGGGAAACAUUUAUGGCUCUAGGAUGGGACUGUACGGUAUCAGUUAGUUGGUGAGGUAAUGGCUCACCAAGACAAUGACACCUAACUGGUUUGAGAGGAUGAUCAGUCACACUGGAACUGAGACACGGUCCAGACUCCUACGGGAGGCAGCAGUGGGGAAUAUUGCACAAUGGACGAAAGUCUGAUGCAGCAACGCCGCGUGGAGGAUGACACAUUUCGGUGCGUAAACUCCUUUUAUAUAGGAAGAUAAUGACGGUACUAUAUGAAUAAGCACCGGCUAACUCCGUGCCAGCAGCCGCGGUAAUACGGAGGGUGCAAGCGUUACUCGGAAUCACUGGGCGUAAAGAGCGUGUAGGCGGAUUAAUAAGUUGGAAGUGAAAUCCUAUGGCUCAACCAUAGAACUGCUUUCAAAACUGUUUAUCUAGAAUAUGGGAGAGGUAGAUGGAAUUUCUGGUGUAGGGGUAAAAUCCGUAGAGAUCAGAAGGAAUACCGAUUGCGAAGGCGAUCUACUGGAACAUUAUUGACGCUGAGACGCGAAAGCGUGGGGAGCAAACAGGAUUAUAUACCC